rnacentral:lncRNA from 1 species
UUUAUUUGUGUUCUUAAUUAUUUCAUUCCUCUCGAAGUAUGAAAGCUUAAAGCCCCGCCCGCCGGACUUUAGAUUGUUCGAUGAGCAUACAUCUCCUAUAAUCUGUUCCCCGGAUUUCAGUAUCGGAUGCUGCGAGAAGUCACGUGGCAGCAAAAGAAUACCGGUCUUGAGGCUUCGAUUCUGCAAAACAAGGUGGAGUUUCUCCCCUGAAGUAAUUUCCCGGUGGUUCAAUCAGAUGUAACGAGG